rnacentral:rRNA from 1 species
UACGUAGGGUGCAAGCGUUGUCCGGAAUUAUUGGGCGUAAAGAGCUCGUAGGCGGUUUGUUGCGUCGGCUGUGAAAUCCCGAGGCUCAACCUCGGGUCUGCAGUCGAUACGAGCAAACUAGAGUGUUGCAGGGGAGACUGGAAUUCCUGGUGUAGCGGUGAAAUGCGCAGAUAUCAGGAGGAACACCGGUGGCGAAGGCGGGUCUCUGGGCCGAUACCUGACGCUGGAGGAGCGAAAGCGUGGGGGAGCGAACAGGAUUA